GAAGCCGGGAGCGAGGACCCCGCUCUCGGGUAGAAUUGGAGGGUACUCGUGGUGGGGCGCAGCGAGGCUCAAAGGGACACCCACGUUCUCCUCCCCAGGGUGAUGGUGCAUGUUCUGCACUGUUUCCCGUCCGCCGUGGCCACCAUUCCAGCAAGGAAGGAGACCGCGUGGUGGCGAGUGUCCGGGGUUUGGGGUCCCACCCCUACCCGACGCAGUCAUGGCGCCCCCGUACCCCGCCGGAUUGUAGUGGACCCGUCUCCCCCGCCCUGGGUGCACCAGCCGCUCCCGCAGCGCCCAGACCUCCGCCGGGAGCUCUGACGGCUGUGCAGUACUGGCCGCUGGCCUUCGGGCCUCCCCCGCCCCAGGGCGCCGCGCAGGUGCCUUUGCUGACGCCGAGCGUGAGCCUGAGCCCGACCCGGGACCCCAGAGGCCUGUGCGCCCUGAAGCGCCCGCGCACUUCAGGGGAGGUUCGCCCCAGGCAAGGGGGAUGCAUCUUCCCGACGACUUCGGAUCCAGCUGUUUGUUGAGGAACCAGGAAACGCCCUGACACUUUUGCGGCCCUGUCCCCGUCUCUAGAUGGGGAUGACAGUACUUCUGUCCAUUGCGGAGCACAGCAGGACCUGCCUUUUCCCUUUGACUGGAAGGUUCUUCUCUACACCCCCAUCUGUCUUGAUAACCUGCCACCUCCGCAGAGGUCUUCCCUGUCUCCCGAUUUAAAAUUGCAGCUCUGAGAAGCCGGGCACGGUGGCACAUGCCUGUAGUGCCAACUACUGGGGAGUCUGAGGUGGGAGGAUUGCUUGAGCCCGGGAGCUGGAGGCUGCAGUGAGCUCUGACUGUUCCAUUGCACUCCAGCCUGGGCGAAAGAGCAAGACUCUGUCUCUAAAAAGAUAAACUAAAAUUGCAUGUCUUGUGUGCUUCACCAUGGCUCCUUCUCCUGAAUACUUAUUAUCUCACGUGCUGCGUGUUUUAUUGAUCUCAUUAGUCUCUCCCAUCCCAACCUUUGUACUAAACUGCCUGAAGGCAGCUCUUGUCACUGCUGGAGAACAGAGUCCUGCACAAAGCUGAUGGCUAAAAAAUAGUUAAUGAAAUAAUGGAUGAUGGGCGGGUGGUACUAAGUUCACCUUAAAUGUGAGUGGAGGACUAGCCCUGCAGAGAUUCAGUGACCUGCUGGCCGUUGCUAAGCUGUCACGAAGUUCAAGUCUGGCUGCAGUGUCCAAGCUGUGACUCAGUCACUGCUGAUGCUCACGGGACCUUCACCAGCUUAGUCCCAGAGAGCAAAGAUUUUAACCCCCGACCUCCAUUUCCUCGUCUGUAAAAUGGAAAUAUGGAGCUGUGUAACACCCGGAACAGUGCCUGCUGCACAGAGGCUCCCUGCCAGCUCCCUCUCCCUCCUUGCCUCUUACCUGCCUGCUGCCUGGGACUGGAUGAACAGGUGCCUUUGUGUUGCUCUGACCCUGGCUGCCCGCCAAGGGUCCAUGUGAUCUGCCUGGCAGAGGAGUUCCUUUGGGAAGAAUCAGGGCAGCUUCUGUCCCCCGGCACCAGCCUGGUCCAGCUCUGGGAAGAGGGUGCCCAGUUGUAUAAGCCAGGCCUGGGCAGCCGAGUCCUCAUCUUGAUAUUCAGGGCCCAGCCUGGAGGGGACUUGUGAUGCCUGACUCUAUCUCUCUGGCCCCAUGCCUUGGUAGCUGUGGGAGGUCACUGCUUUAGGUGACCUGAUCUGGUUGUGCAGAUGGGCAUGGAGGAAAUAGUAGAAGACUCGGAAUUAGAAGACGCGAGUGGGCUUUGGCCCCGGCCUCGCCACCCCACUCCCUGCCCUGGGCUGUCUGUCACCAACCUUCUUGCCUCCACAGACACACUGGACAGCCCUGCCGGGGACCUGAUCCUCAGCGUCCCUAACCCUCUCCCAAUACCAGUGGCCUAAGGGAGGUCCUCAAAGGCCGGUGGGACAUCCAUCUCUGUCAGUCUCCAGGCUCUUGACACUUUUGCCAGAAGGAAUUUAAGGACAAGUUAGAAGGCAUGAAUGGAGGGAGAUUUCUUGCAGAGCAAGAGUAUACACUCAAGAAGGGGAAUGUGGGGGUCAUGAAGAGAGUGUCUCAUGCCCUAGGUUUGGGACUGACCUUUAUGGGCUUCUUUAAAGAUGGUGUAUUCAUGAAGAUUCCAGGAAAAGGUAAAGAUUUCUCAAAACCGUGGUGCCACAAUUUACGUCCAAAUACAGGUGUUCCUGGAGCGGUCUUGGCACUGGUCGGUGUAUGAUUUAACAUCUUACUGAUCAUAUAAUGAGAUCCUAGGUGAAACCUACAUCAAAUGCAGCGCCAUGUUGGGUCUGGUUGGUUGUAGCCAGCUUGGUCCUCAUCCUAUUUUUCCGGGACUUAUUGGCCCUUAGCACAUGCAGCUAUUUCAAGUUUCCUUCUUCUGGUCAUGUGAAACUGCAGCCUGGGAUUUUCUAGUCCCCAGCUACCACCCUGUAUUAAUCUCACAUUCUUGCCUAUUUUCCAUGCCAUCUGGAGUGGGUCUAGCUGGUUUUUACCGGACUGCAAUACAAAGUCUGAGCCAAGGGUACCUCCCGAUGGUUACUGAAGGCAGAGAUGGAGCUAGUGGCCUCAGGACCUGUCAGUCAGGAUCACAGAGGAGGGAGGAGGGGCCGUGGCCCUAACAGAUCACUCCAAGCUUGUCUCCAGCUGGCGGACUAAGGAGGAUAAUGGAGAAGCUCCCCAACUCCCAAACCCACCUCUUCCUCCCAGGAGCAAAACUAACUCUGGCCUGGCUCCAGAUCCCUCCCACACUGGACUUAGGAAACCCUCAGCACAGAUAACAGCCCUGCAUUCCCACACCGCACCCACACUCAGCCACUGCGGGCGAGGACAGCCAGCUCCCGAAAGCUCAGGUGAGUGACAUGGUGGAAUGGCCCAAGUCGCCCUCACCCUGCUCAGCUUCUGGCUCCAACAUUCCAGAAGCCGAGGCCUCUGCCAUUCCUGCUCUUUCCCCAUGGAUAUCCCAUUU